rnacentral:rRNA from 1 species
AGGGCGAACGCUGGCGGCGUGCUUAACACAUGCAAGUCGAGCGGAAGGGCCCUUCGGGGUACUCGAGCGGCGAACGGGUGAGUAACACGUGAGUAAUCUGCCCCUAGCUCUGGGAUAGCUCCGGGAAACCGGGAUUAAUACCAGAUAUGACCACUUUAGACAUCUGCUGUGGUGGAAAGAAUUUCGGCUAGGGAUGAGCUCGCGGCCUAUCAGCUUGUUGGUGGGGUAAUGGCCUACCAAGGCGACGACGGGUA